AUCGCUUCUCGGCCUUUUGGCUAAGCUCAAGUGUAGUAUCUGUUCUUAUCAGUUUAAUAUCUGAUAUGUUCUCCAACGUGAGGACUAUAUAUUAAGCGGAUUUUUACUUUUGGGGAGCUGAAAGGGGCUUGCUCUAACUCCUCCACGCGCUCGACCUGGCACUGCGGUGUGCGCCCGCGAGCAGUGCACCUUCU
rnacentral:snRNA from 1 species